CCUACGGGUGGCAGCAGUGAGGAAUAUUGGUCAAUGGGCGCAAGCCUGAACCAGCCAAGCCGCGUGAAGGAUGACUGCCCUCGGGGUUGUAAACUCCUUUUAUAAAGGAGUAAAGUGAGGCACGUGUGCCUUUAUGUAUCUACUUUAUCUAUAAGGAACGGCGAACGACGCUCCAUAAGCCGCGGUAAUGCGUAGGAUCCGAGCGUUAUCCGGUUUUAUUGGGUUUAAAGGGAAAGUAGAUGGGUGGUUAAGUCAGUUGUGAAAGUUAGCGGCUCAACCGUAAGAUUGCAAUUGAUACUGGCAGACUUGAGUACAGUUGAGGUAGGCGGAAUUCGUGGGGUAGCGGUGAAAUGCGUAGAUAUAACGCAGAACCCCGAUGGCGAAGGCAGCCUGCCGGGCCGUGACUGACGCUGAUGCACGAAAGCGUGGGGAUCAAACAGGAUUAGAUACCCGGGUAGUC
rnacentral:rRNA from 1 species